UAAUGCCUCAGAUUUACUAGUCAACUAGCCAAUCAGAACGCGCGAAAGCUCAUUUGAUAUGCAAAAUUUAUACUAAAAAGAAUUAUGAAUAAUGAACUCAAUCCAAUAACUGUGUUACCUUUUGGAGUUGACCACCAAGUGCUAAAGUGCCACAUGGUUCAGAUUCAAACCCAACUAUGGUCGCAUCACUGUUUAGUCUGUUAGUCACUCUUUUCAUCUGCCUUGUGCAAUUGGCCUAUUAGGAUUUGAAUCAUGUAGUCCGGCUUGGCUAAUUGACUAUUAGAUUAAUUAGUAAUAAUUAUUAGUUAGAAAUAUUAAUAUUUUAUUGCUUUAGGGAAUACUAUACAGUAACCUAGCCAGAGCUGGGGGGACCCCUCUCAGAAAAUCCCCCCCCCCCCACCGUACAUCCAGGGGCAAAACUAGCCCAUUUUAAUUAAGGGGUGUCUGCUAGGGGUGCCGGGGGGGGGGAGAUAGGUUGAAAAAAUUUUCCAGACAUAAACCAGUCAAAUUAAGGGUCAAAAAAAUUUUUCCAUACAAAUUCCUGUUAAAACAUGCUUGAAACCCUUAUUUUUUGACCAAUAUCUGUAAAAUUUGGGUCUAUAAAUCCCUGUAAGUUACUUAAUAACUCUACAUUCUAUCAUUUAAAAUCUUUGAUUGCCCUGCCAAUCCAGAUGAUUCGCCCUACCAAUCCAGAUGAUUCAUACUUUGGGGGGUGUCACCCCCCCCCCAUACCCCCCUCAAGUUUCGUCCCUGUGUACAUCUAACUUUUGUAUGCCUUGAUUAAGCCGUCCCUCCCCCUGGGUCCACAAAGUCUGAGUGCAUAUUUUUGGAAAUACAACAUUUGAAUUUUUCUUAUAUUUUACUAGAAAUUAUGCACAAUAACACAGUAAAUUUUUAGUAAAAUGUUCAAGGAAAAGGAUCUUCCAACAGCAGCAGAUGACACAGCAAAUCUUUAGUAAAAUGUUCAAGGAAAGGAUCUUCCAACAGCGGCAGAUAACACAAUAAAUCUUUACUCUGUCUAACGCUACAAUCCUGGACAAAAAGUGGCAAAAACUAGUUUAUUACUUCAAAAUAUAAUUUUAAGACAUGUUUGUCCCAAUGAUGUCCCCUUCCCCCAAUAUCAAUGUUUGGCCAAGUUAUCUGGCCUUGAAUACACCCAUCAACAUUGAUAUUAGGGGAAGGGGGGUGAAAUUCGAUGAAUUUUCUUAUUUUUUACCCUUUUGCCAAUAAUUUAUGUCCAAGAUUGUAGAUGAUUUUACUCAUCAAGUGGAGUCUUGCAACUUAAUGGGUUAAUGAAUCAGUUGGUUAUUACAACCGAUUUCAACUUGAUUCAUAUUUAACAUUCACUUUAACCCAUUUAUUGACAGCACUCUACCACUGACGAGUAAUUAAUCGUCUGGCAUUAGACAGAGUAAAUACUAUAAGUAGGUACAUUUGGGCACAUUCACAUUGCCAGUUAAUGAGUUAAUAUUGACAACAUUAAAAACAGACUAGGGUGUCAAAGGCUACGUGGAUGCUUCUUUGCCUGCAACAAAUCAAUGUUAGAUUUCAGCAAUGAAGGGAAUCAAUAUUUUAAUAAAAUAAUUGUUAUUAAUAAAAUAAUUGUUAAAAUAAUCAAUAUUUUAAUAAAAUAAUUGUUGUCAAUUAAUAAAAUAAUUGUUAGAAAUUGUUGGGUUAAUAAUUAUUGGGUUAAUAAUUAUUGAAAUAUGUUGUGCUAUAGCAGACUAUGAAGUGAUUAUGCAUAUAUAGUAUAUAAAAUGGACAUUAGAUGACUCAACCUGGCCUAGUUAGCCAGGCUUGUCUUCAGUGUCUUGGUUAGCCAAGAUCCUGACUCAUAUGAUAACCAUUUUCUAUUCUGGCAAGGCAGGCUAGCCUGCAUGGCUCAUGUAAACAGGGCCUAAGAUGAUACAUUUUAACAUCAUAUAGUAGGCAUGUGAAUAUCAUACCGGCAGAUAAUUGAAUGAAAGC
rnacentral:lncRNA from 1 species